UACUCGAAGUCCAAGUAACAGUGUCCUUGUGUCUUAGUGGCCGCCUGUGGAGAGAAAGGACAACGAGAGUGAACAAUUGGAGAGCAGACUGUGAACGUGAUACCUACCCAGAAAGCUGUAAACAGCAGAGCUGGUGAGAAAUACUCGAAGUCCAAGUAACAGUGUCUUUGUGUCUUAGUGGCCGCCUGUGGAGAGAAAGGACAACGAGAGUGAACAAUUGGAGAGCAGACUGUGAACGUGAUACCUACCCAGAAAGCUGUAAACAGCAGAGCCGUGGCCGCCUGUGGAGAGAAAGGAAAACGAGAGUGAACAAUUGGAGAGCAGACUGUGAACGUGAUACCUACCCAGAGAGCUGUAAACAGCAGAGCCGUGACCACCUGUGGGGCACAAGGAGAAAGAGGGUGGACGUACGACAGGGAACGUAAAGGCACGCGGGGCGAGGACCCCCUGCCGACCUGAGGAAAGGUACACAGACAGUGGACAAAUCUCCUUACCAG